rnacentral:lncRNA from 1 species
GUGGCCACGUGGGCCGCGCGGAGAACGCGCCAGGCUCAUCACCUGGAUCAUCGUGCCUCAGUUUCCCCCUCGGCAAAUGGGGCUUCAGCGGCUCGCGACGCACAUUGAUGGAGCGUAUGUCCAGGCGCCGGUGCACCGCAAGGAGCAAAACAGACACAGUUCUUGGUCCUAGGGCUCACGUCCCGGGGCGAAGAGGAUCCUCCAUAAACGAUCAGCCAUAGCAGCUGUGAUUGGACAAGAGACUGAUUUCAGUGACUUUCUCCUAAUAAGAGACCACCGACCAGCUGACCAUGCCGACCAGCUGACCCGUUAAUAGAGAGAGAUGAUGCACCUGCAUGCCUUUGUGUCCUGAAAAGACGUUUUGCCAUAAAGGCCCUAAUUGUAAGAUGUGUAAAUGUUAAGUCUCCACCCCAAAGUGAACAUGGGUCAUAUAUUACAUGCUUUGCUCAAUAAGAGGGCAUGUGUCAGGACCACCUUCAUGAAUAUUCAUAGCUCCUCCUGUUACCUGUUGAAUAUGUAUGUUUAGCCAAUCCCUUCAGCAUAGCGCUCCUGCCCCAACCCCUCCUCCUUGGACGUGCCUGUCUCUGGCCUUGGCUGGAGACAGAUUCCCAGCCUCAGACAGAUGGCCGCCACCUUGCAGGCUACGACCGUUUACAAGAAAUAAAGCCUUCUCUUUUUC